GUGUCAGCAGCCGCGGUAAUACGUAGGGCGCAAGCGUUGUCCGGAAUUAUUGGGCGUAAAGAGCUCGUAGGUGGCUUGUCACGUCGGGUGUGAAAGCUUGGGGCUUAACUCCAGGUCUGCAUUCGAUACGGGCUGGCUAGAGGUAGGUAGGGGAGAACGGAAUUCCUGGUGUAGCGGUGAAAUGCGCAGAUAUCAGGAGGAACACCGGUGGCGAAGGCGGUUCUCUGGGCCUUACCUGACGCUGAGGAGCGAAAGCGUGGGGAGCGAACAGGAUUAGAAACCCUGGUAGUCC
rnacentral:rRNA from 1 species